rnacentral:lncRNA from 1 species
AAUGUGUCCUCAGUACACGAAUGCCCCACUCGCACUAUCAUUUUCUAUGUUCAGUGGACCGUGAAAUUGGGGUAAAAUCUCUAAUUUGGCAUAAAAAUUAGAAAGAUCAUAUCAUAGGGAACAUGUGUACCAAGUUUGAAGUCGAUUGGACUACCUCGACCAAAAACUUUAACCUGAAUCGGGACAGACGGACGAACAGACGGACGGACGAACGGACGAACGAACGGACGCACAGACCAGAAAACAUAAUGCCCCUCUACUAUCGUAGGUGGGGCAUAAAAA